rnacentral:rRNA from 1 species
GACGAACGCUGGCGGCGUGCUUAACACAUGCAAGUCGAACGGAAAGGCCCUGCUUGUGUGGGGUGCUCGAGUGGCGAACGGGUGAGUAACACGUGAGUAACCUGCCCUUGACUUUGGGAUAACUUCAGGAAACUGGGGCUAAUACCGGAUAGGAGCUCCUGCUGCAUGGUGGGGGUUGGAAAGUUUCGGCGGUUGGGGAUGGACUCGCGGCUUAUCAGCUUGUUGGUGGGGUAGUGGCUUACCAAGGCUUUGACGGGUAGCCGGCCUGAGAGGGUGACCGGCCACAUUGGGACUGCGAUACGGCGCAGACUGCUACGGGAGGCAGCAGUGGGGAAUAUUGCACAAUGGGCGGAAGCCUGAUGCAGCAACGCCGCGUGCGGGAUGACGGCCUUCGGGUUGUAAACCGCUUCCGCCUGUGACGAAGCGUGAGUGACGGUAAUGGGUAAAGAAGCACCGGCUAACUACGUG